UACGAAGGGGGCUAGCGUUGCUCGGAAUUACUGGGCGUAAAGGGUUCGUAGGUGGCCUGCUAAGUCAGACGUGAAAUCCCUCAGCUUAACUGGGGAACUGCGUCUGAGACUGGUGGGCUUGAGUGCAGGAGAGGAACGCGGAAUUCCAGGUGUAGCGGUGAAAUGCGUAGAUAUCUGGAGGAACACCGGUGGCGAAGGCGGCGUUCUGGACUGUUACUGACACUGAUGAACGAAAGCCAGGGGAGCAAACGGG
rnacentral:rRNA from 1 species